UGCUCAGCAACUCCAAUCCCUACUUCCUCGUGGUACCGGCCGGAAACUAUGAGCAACCUUAGGGAAGAUCGGGUAACCAACCCCGGUGGGAACUUUACUUUGGCCGUAGUCUGACAGGGAAGG
rnacentral:ribozyme from 1 species